GCCCUUGUAGCUCAGUGGUAGAGCAGCUGCCUUGUAAACAGCAGGUCGACAGUUCGAUUCUGGUCCAAGGGCACCA
rnacentral:tRNA from 2 species